UUGGAGGGCAAGUCUGGUGCCAGCAGCCGCGGUAAUUCCAGCUCCAAUAGCGUAUAUUAAAGUUGUUGCAGUUAAAAAGCUCGUAGUUGAAUUUCGGGAUUAGCAGGUCGGUCGUGCCACUGGUACGUACUGGUCUUGCUGAUUCCUCCCUCUUGACGAGCCGUAAUGCCAUUAAUUUGGUGUUGCGGGGAAUCAGGACUGUUACUUUGAAAAAAUUAGAGUGUUUAAAGCAGGCAUGCGCUUGAAUACAUUAGCAUGGAAUAAUGAAAUAGGACGUUCGAUCUUAUUUUGUUGGUUUCUAGGAUUGACGUAAUGAUUAAUAGGGAUAGUUGGGGGCAUUAGUAUUCAAUUGUCAGAGGUGAAAUUCUUGGAUUUAUUGAAGACUAACUACUGCGAAAGCAUUUGCCAAGGAUGUUUUCAUUAAUCAAGAACGAAAGUUAGGGGAUCGAAGACGAUCAGAUACCGUCGUAGUCUUAACUAUAAACUAUGCCGACUAGGGAUCGGAUGAUGUUAAUUUUUUAAUGACUCAUUCGGCGCCUUACGGGAA
rnacentral:rRNA from 1 species